rnacentral:rRNA from 1 species
UGGGGAAUUUGGACAAUGGGCGAAAGCCUGAUCCAGCAAUGCCGCGUGUGUGAAGAAGGCCUUCGGGUUGUAAAGCACUUUUGUCCGGAAAGAAAUCCUUGGCUCUAAUACAGUCGGGGGAUGACGGUACCGGAAGAAUAAGCACCGGCUAACUACGUGCCAGCAGCCGCGGUAAUACGUAGGGUGCAAGCGUUAAUCGGAAUUACUGGGCGUAAAGCGUGCGCAGGCGGUCCGCUAAGACAGAUGUGAAAUCCCCGGGCUUAACCUGGGAACUGCAUUUGUGACUGGCGGGCUAGAGUAUGGCAGAGGGGGGUAGAAUUCCACGUGUAGCAGUGAAAUGCGUAGAGAUGUGGAGGAAUACCGAUGGCGAAAGGCAGCCCCCCU